GCCGUGUCCGAUGGUGAUUCCGUGUUCCUCGUUUCGCCGACGCAUUAACCGAGAUCGCGAAAGCGACGCCCGCGAGCCUCGCUUGCGUUUUUUAUCGUCGUCAUUUUCUCUUUUCCCGAAAAGUGGACUCGUAUCGUGGUGACCGGCGAGCCGCUCCCCCUCCCCUCCUACAUCUCGAGAAGUAACCUCAGUCCUGUCGGGGAGACGGUGUCGAGUACGUCGUACUUUAUUUAUCGCGCCAUCUUUUUAUUCGUUCGUCGCGAAUAUCGCGAAGAACGACAAUGAUCGUGGUGUGUCCACCUGAAGCCUAUAGAAAAUAACGACGAGAACAACGACGUGUGUGAGUAUACGCGGGAUUUCAGUGUCGUGAAGUGCGUCGCGUUCGACACACGUCGCGGCUCAGUUCGUAGCGUCCGCCGUUUGUUCGACGAUGGCACAGUUUCGUUUCGUUCUUCGUUUCGUCGAUGUUAAUUGAGAUCUCGAAAACAGUGCUCAAGCUUUCUUUGCGUUUACGUAACAUCUGGUCGCUUUUCUCGAAAAAUGUAUACCGUGAUAUGGACGAGAUGGUUGGCGAGCCGCUUCUUCCGUUUCCGUUACUGAGACUAAAUACCGUCGGAAUUCCGCGAUCUCGCGUCUUUUCCUCCUUCAUUUUAUCUUUAGAAGUGGCUGUCGCGUGCGAACGAAUAUCGGUGUGAGUGGAAUUGAACAGCGGGCGAUCGUCUUUACAAAAUUCCUAAGAGGCGUCGCGAUACCCUAACCUAACCUAACCUCAACUGAUCCGGCCGUUUGCAUAGGUGACGAUGCACAUGCAUUGCGCGAGUGAUGAUAGUGGGAAUAUAAUCAAAGACACAGAAGCUACAACAGAAAGAAGGAAAGGAACACCGGAAGCAGAGAGAAAGAGGCCAAUGAUGACGCAUCGACCGCAGAGAGAAGGAGGCCAAUGAUGAUGCAUCAACCAGUGAAUGAGUUACUUGUAUUGGGAUUAUUAUCGUAGCUUUUAGUGACUGUAAUUUGAUCAGCAGAGAGAAAAAGGCCAAUGAUGACUAUAUGUUGCAGCAGAGAGAAAGAGACCAAUGAUGACGCAUCGACCGGUGAGUGAGUUACUUGUAUUGAGAUUAUUAUCGUAGCUUUCAGUGACUGUAAUUUGAGGUAAAUAACCAGGUGUUUACUACCGGAAAAAUAUAAGAAUUUAUUUCUUUAUUCUUAAAAAUUAUAAAUUUGUGUGAGAUUUUAUUGGUAAUUUUUGGAGAAAUUUUUGACGAAUUUUACUUUUAAAUUAAAAUUUAAUUUUUAUUUAUAACAAAAUUGUUUCUUCGGUCAUUUUUUUUUGGUAAUAUAAAAAAUCGAUAAAUAUAUAUAUCUACAUUCUUUCAUAAUUUACGAGUGUUUAUUAAACUGAUAAUGAAAGGGAAUACAUAGUUCUGAAUUGGUGUUGUAUAUUUGUACAAUGAUUGUAUGAUUAAUCGAAUUAAUUAUUGAAUAUAGAACAUUAAAUGGAACAAUAAAUAUAGUGCAGUAAUAAAUUUAUAUCAAACUUGUUUUUAAAAAAUUUGUAAUUUUACAUAGAAUUUUGAAAAAAAUUCGUAGAAAAUUAAGAAAUUUACGAAAUUUAAGUAAAUAAACCUGAUAAACCACACAGUUAUAUUACAAUGAUUUUCUGAUAUUAUGUGUUUUAAAAUUUGAAAUUUUAUUAUUCUUAACACUCUAUACACAUGUUAUGUCACAGUACUUCUGAAUUAAUUUGCAUUAUUUUUACAAGUAUCAAUUGUUCAUCAAUAAUUUUCACAUGUACCUUAACAUCUCUAAAAAGUAUUUGUAUAAUUGAUUAUUAGAAAUAAUUAAAUAUAAUAUAUAAAUUUUUUUUAAGACUUAACAUGCGACGUAAGGGUAAAGUAAUGGAGGUAAGGUCCAAAAAGUGAAAAGUUAAUACUAGGGUGUAGCUCGUAAUUGACAUAAAUUUUUAUAAAUUUAGAAGUGCAGGACUAAUCCAGUUUAGUUCGUUAUCCUUACGUAAGAAGGAAAUGUUUGACACACAACUUACAAUAGUGUGGUCCAAUAUCCGUCGCAAAUGUCGCAAGGAUAUUACUCAGAGGAUAUUUCUUCCUUUGGAUUAAAGACGUCACGAAUUAUUAACGCGUUUGAACGACUGCAAUUCAAAUUAAACGUCACGACAUGAAUUGCAAAAGAGGUUGUGAAAGGACCGGAGAUAUCAUAAUUAUAUUGGCUUAUACCUUCGAGAUUUUCGCUUAGAAAAUGAGAGGAGUGAAUAUCUAUAAGUAAAGGAAAAUAUGGAACGGAUAAAAAAACCAGCUUUUGCAAGCAGCUCCGAUUUGUGAGCGUGUUUAUCGGAAUUGAAAAGCUGUCACGUCGUCACGUGACGUGAAGAAAGGCGAAGUGUUUGAUCGUUGCAACGAUACGUAAACGAACGUAUACGUCGCAAAAGAAUGGAACAACAAUGUUUAAAUAUAGAAAACAAUGUAGUAGGUAGUUUUCGUAUUUGUUAAUACAAUUUUUGCUGGAAUAAAACACACACACACACACACACACAAGCACACGUGAAAAAGAGUAUUAUGGAAAAAUGUUGUAAGUGAAACAGUCUUGAUUUAACGCCGGUUUGUUCGAGGUAUAUUCACCGUGACUGCUCAUGAUUUGUUCCGUAAUAAAUAAUAAAAUAGGUACUGCUUCAACGUAGCUAAUUACAUUAAAUAGUAGCGACAAUUAAGUAGAGUUUCCAGGACAUUUUCGGAAACAGUCGUGGCUCGAAAGCGAAAGGCAACGGUUUAUCCGAGCGCAGGUCACGGGGCUUUCUCGCCCCGAUCUGCACACGUCGCGCGCUUUAUGAAUCGGAAGUAACUUCCCGCCGAACCGAUGACCAAAAUUUCCAGACGCAAAUCCAGCGGAUUUAUCCGAUUUGCGCGAGUUGAGUGCGAACCGCAACUAUAGGCGCGCUUAUUUUCGCCGCGAAUUUUAACUCAUUACGACGAGAGUGGCAGGAUACGCCACGCGUUUCCUAUAAAUUUUCGAUAGAGCGUGCGUUAAAGGGAAAGGGAGGAAGACGUGCUGUAUCGACGACAUACGAUAAAAAUUCAAUGAGACCCGCGCGCCGGGACGAUUCUCGUUGUCUGGCAUCUAGAGCGGGAUAGAUUAUCGAUCGCUCGCUCGCCGCCCGAGCUGUUAUCAUACGGAGGUGUGCUGGCUCGUAUACGGCGGCGUGCGCGGUCCUAUCUCGUAUACGAGGACGAUACGUAAUAACGGUAGUAGCAUCACGAAGUGAGAUAUAAAGGCGCCGCCGUUACGACGUAUACCGCGGAACAUAUGGCGAACGUGCCCCGAUGCGGUUUCUCUUUUUGUCGCGCGCAGCAUCUCUUCCACCUCUCCCGGUCCCUUUUGCCGCCACGGCAAUAUCUAUGUGGUCAGUGACUACGGCAAUGUUACUUCUUGUUGUGGUCAAUUCGUACGAGAGGUAGGAGCGUAUAGUGGAGGAACUUUUCGAAAAACCCGCGCCGUUGCAACCUCAUCGAGGUGUGCCUCUUCUUUUUUCCGUGGUUCCGUGGUUUCGAAAACGCGCUUUCGCGUCACAGCGAGAAAAACAAAAUGGGCCCGAUUCCGGCGAUAAUCUUUAUCACAGUGAUAGUGCAUUAAUGCACACGUUCCGUAAUGAGACGACUGCAACUAAACACACGCAGAGUCUCGGCGCAAAUUACAUUGGCGCGAGUUGCUGUAAAAUGCAAAUUCGUAUGAAUCGUAACGAUAAAUUAAUAAGUGCGAUGCAAUUAUAAAUAGAUACGGCUCAGCGAACCGCGCAAUUGAUUAAUACAUAAUUAUCUGUCGUAAUACGCUGUAAGCUGUUCGAAAUUUAUUCUACUUUGCCCGAUACAUAAAUUUUGCAAGAAAUUUGUUAUUUUGCUUUGCUGUAAUUAAUCGCGAUUUUUUUAGGUUUACGUGAAUUAAUUAACUUUUCAACCUAAUUCGCAGUCUAUUGUUCCACGGAAAAUGAGUUAUCGGUUUUCCUUUUGAAAAUGAUUACGAUUUGAUUGAAAACUUACUUCCAAUCUCGUAUUUAAAUUCCAGAAGAAAUUAAAAGCAAAAUAAAGAUACACGAUGAAUUAAUCGGCUUUUCUCCUAAGAAUAUUAAAAAUUGUAUUUCAAAACAGUAAUGUGCGGAACAGUUGUACUUUUUUCACAUUUUAUUUGCAUUGGUAUAUGACUUUAACAAUUAAUGAUUAAUGGAGAAUUACGUACGAGCAAAUAGAGAGAUAAGUUAAGCUCAAGUAAAUUUAGCGGUCGGUUUGAUUAUUAUUAUUCCGAGGAUGAUGGAUUUCUAUCGAAAAUUCCGUUCGAAGCUAAAACGACCACGGUCCUUCCGGUAGGAGCGACACAAGAAAUUCGCAGUCGCACAGAUCGAUAUCCUGUCGCUGAAAGGCAAAUAGCUCGAAGGGUUAUAAAAGACGGGAUGAAAUAUGUAUAGAAAUUUCCAUUCACUUGGCUAGCUCGUAGGUGAUUACCCGUGAGAAGAUGGAAAUUUCUGCUGACACCGCGGCUCGAAAUAAACGGACGAAAUCGAAAUCAGUGACGGCUCGUAGGCGGAUAGAGAGAAUUGGCCCGAUAAAUCUACACUGUCUCGUCAAAUCUCAUUAUAUCUCGUAAUGAGCAGCGCUAUUCCGUAAUGACGUUUAUUCAAUUUAGUACAAUGCGCCUGUAAAUUGCAUCGCGCAUUAGCGAAAUCAAUCGAGUCUCACUGUAUUAUCCGCAAAUAAUCCGCAACAGGUAAAUUGGAUUCUUUUCUGAGAAUUGUGUUGCGCAUUUAAAUGCAGAGAAGAUUUUGUCAGACGGGCAAUUAAAAAUGAUCAUUAAUUAUUAUUAAUUAUAAUUUCUUCGAAACUUCUAUUCAUUAUAAAGAUUGUUAGAGUGAACAUUUAUUGGUCUUUGACGGUUCGUUAAGAACGCGUGUACGUGUGUGUGUACGUACGUUUUAAUAUAAAAAGAAAUUUUAAGAGAACGUUAAAAAAUCUACAUUUUUUAUAUAGUACCCAUAUCUUUGAAGAAACGCGAAAAAAUUCCGCAGGUCAGAUUUAUAUCGAUAAUUUCUUGUAAAUCAGGAAAUGCAGGGGGUGUAGCUUUCUUCGGAUUUCCUCUUGCGGCUCUGCAACAUUUUUGUGCAUAUUUUCGCGAGCGGAUGAGGAAUCACAGUGAAAUUCCGCAUUAACGCGGUACUUACCUCUAUAAUUAACUCGAGCCAUUUACCGACAACCAGUUUCAUAAUUCGCGGCGAAGAUACCGCGGGCUUACUGCGGAUUUCAACGUUUUCUUAAAGACCCCGGGCGGCGCGGCGCGCUCUUCCGUUUCCGCCGCAAAUCGGAUUAUGAGAGGAUUAAAUCUACACCGGGGUACACCUUCGCGCCUCAACACCAGUCCCGCAGUCACGUUCCACGCAGGAGGAGGGCGAGCUAGAGAAGUCGAAUUUGGCAAUAAAACGACCAGCCCGAAAAUUCUACAAGGAUCACAUUACGUACUCUAUCUCCGGUAUUGCAAACGCGAUGGCUCCCGUAAUGUACUUUAUCUGAGUUUAUAUUCGUGUUAAAUGGAUAUCACGCGCUGCGCGGUUCAUGGCGAGCUGCUUUAUUGAUGAGGUACGAGCAGAAUUCGAUUACACAGCAGUUUGCACAUCUAACUGCAAUUGAGCAUUAUCCUUCGUAUUUUCGAUGCUGCCGUCUAGUUUGAAGUGAAAGGAACAUUGAAGCGUGAAAUUUCAAAUAUGCGUAUACACGAGUAUAAUGCACGCUGCAGCCGUUAAUAGUUGCUUGAAAAAGAUUUUUUACUUUGAACAGCUGCAUGACAACGAUAACGCAACGGAAAUUAGAAUUAUACUGGAACAUUAAGCUUUACAGAUAAUUAAUUAGCGAUUAAUUACAUAGUUCGAUGACAUGGAGCUAAUGAUAAUGACAAUUUUGGAAUAUAUAUAUAUUGAUACUAUUUCUGUGAAGGAGACAUGGAAAUGUCAAAGAACAAUUUAGUAAAUGCAGUAGCAGAAUGUGAGAAAUUAUUUGAAGAAAAACUGCUAAACAAUGAAUUUCUGGUCUUGAAACACAGUUAUAAGUUAAACGAGAAUAGAAUAAUAUCAUGAUAUUAAAUUAAUAAUCAACAUACAGUUAGUAAACAAUUUAACAACGGCAAUUUAACAAAUGCUAAUAAGCAUUUAUGGCAAUGAUACCAACCAUCUCUCCCUAAUGAAAAUUUCGAAAUUGCCAUCAAUAUUAAAAGCUAUUAUAGUAUAGUACAUCAGAUUCGAUAGCAAAUGUUAAUUAUCAAUACGAGUGCUACUGAGUAGAUUACCGUGAAUUAAGGCGAGGAAAUGGAUUGUGGGCAGAUAUGUGAUAUUGAAAAGAAAGCUGGCGAUAUAUGACGGACGCGAAUCAAAGGCGAAAUACUCCAAUGUAAAGCGGGAAGCGAGAAAUAACAUGAAUUUGCCGAAUAUUACCUAGGAGCACGCCAAGCGCUUGCGGACCGGGGGCUAUAUAACCUCUCCUCCUCCCCCGACUGCACCUGGCAGGUGUGCCUAACAUCGAAGUGUUUUCCUGCAUGGUCGGAAGCAUGCGGCCUUAAAUCAGCUCGAUUAUCGCGUAUAGGAUAUUGUACCUGGUGCGAGAGAGCCCCCUGCUCUGCAUUACGUCCAGCCAUUAGAGAACCAGGAAGCCGGCCAUUACGCUAUCGUGCCGUGCAUCCGAGAAGAAUGAACGAGAGCAAGAAGACAAAGAAGCUGUCCGACGGUUUUUCGAGCUACGUCAACGGGGAUAAAGCCAUCCGACGUUCCUUUCAAGGUGCGACUCACGUAUAUCACCAACCUUUCUUUAUUACGUAACUGGAAUUUGAUACUUUAUAUUAAAUGGUUCUUGCGCGUCUUGCAAAGAGGUUUUUCUAAGAGGAAUUUCAUGUUUUCAUAAUAACAUUCAGCAAAAUAAGGUUUAUAUAUUUACGUAUCUUUGAUUGAAGCAGUUUAAAAUGCUGCAGAAAUGCUGCGGCAAAAAUUCCCAACAAAAAUUUCUUCAAAAAUUUACCAUCUUUUGCAAACAGCAUUGUAAUGGAGCCACCUGAAUCGAGUCCUCCAUUCGAGUCGAUAAGAAUUGCUGAGAAAUUUUCGUUGUACGCGACAGACGUAAUAAAAACGACUGUUUACAUAUUACGUCAAAAAUUAAUUAUUUUUCAUUAUACGAUAGAAAAGUAAGUCGAAGAAGAAUCAUGUAACAAAUAUAUGCAAAGAAAAUACAUCCUGUUUUUUUCGCUCUUAAUCACUUUUCUUCUUUCGAUGUACAUAUAUACUCAGAAAAGACGAAAAAUCUUCGUGGAAAUGUCACUGACACAUGAACGGUUCGUGCAAAUAUGACGUGAUAUAUCAGAGCUAUACUUACAUAUUUUAUCGAUAUCCGGAACAGAACGUUUAUUUUCUGAUUUUCCGCAAAUAUUAUUUUACAUGGAAAAUCCAUUGAACGGUGAUGUGUGGACUCAGAAGCAAGUUAAUAGUUCAAAUGUAUGAUAAUUUGCAAUUAAAGUGUACAUAAGCGUUAUAUUUACGUACUAUAUAGUGAGUGUCCCAGUUUAAUAGAAAUUGAAAUAUCCUAAAAAGAAAAGAUUCUAGAAAAAAUGAUCCAGACAAAAGUUGUAGUAUCUGUGUGUGAAAGGAACCAAAAUUUAAUUUAUAUAUAAAAUUUAUCAAAAUCAUUAUUGAAACUUAUUUCGGCUGUCAUUUCUUUCUAAUUACGAGCCAGUAAUCUCCCGAUUGUUAAUUAGAACGUACAUUAAUGUAUUUAGAAAAAGAUUUUCCGAAUAUUAAAAGCUGUCAUUUUCAUUUCAAUACUAUUACUUCCAUGUAAGCUCUAAUGAAAAUUGUUUGAACAUAGCGGCUGAAAAAAGACGGAUUCUUUACGUUAUAACGAGCGACAAAACUCAUUACGCCGCUGGCGGAUAAGCCUAUCUUCGGCAAGAUAUGCACGGAGGACAAAAGGGGAAUUAAAAUGGACGAAGAAUUAUCGCGAUGGAUUUAAAUCCUUGCCGGUCGCUGGUUUCGUGCCAUUGCCCCAUAUGUCCGGUGCCGCGAUAAUCUCUGUCACGUGUCGCCGCAUCUUUUGUCGGAUCAUCUUUUCGCUGCCACGAACUAGCGAGGAAGCGAGGUAAAGCUCGGGAUUUGGUGCCAUCCCCGCUACUUAAUUUCAACGGUAAAAUUUACGUUACUUUUGCGUGCGCGCCUCUACGUGGUGCACGACAACUCCAAUCACAGCUCUCGAUAUUACGGGCGAAAACAUGGGAAAAUCACGAUUUAAUCUCGCCUUCAUCCCGUCGACCUAUUAUUUUCUGCUCGUAGAAGGGUAAUCGAAGCUCCGCUAAAUGGCUGAAAGUUGAAAGCACAAUGUGCUGUAUUACGAUCGCAAGAUGUAACUUUAAAAACGUUAUGAGUUUCUCUUGACUUAAUUACAGACAAAAUUCAAUUGCAGACAUUGAAAAUGAUAUAAAACCUCUUAAAUAAUUUGUACGGCAUCAGAGCGUUUACGUGAAUUCACAAGCACAAUAAAUUUUUUAUCAACUUCCGAAACAUUUGACUUUGUCAACUAUAUUUUAGUAUUUCUGAUAGGUUAAAUUAUACAAACGUCUCGACGAACUAUAUUUCAAGCUGAUUUAAAACUUUUUGUAAAAGUACAUUUCGUGUUUUGUAUAAUUCAGAUUUAGUUUACAUUAUUAUUUAAUCUCCUUGAGCUUUUUCCUGGUAUAUUCUUGCUCAUAUGUCUGAGACAAUGCGUUUAACGGCUAUUGAGUGAUCAUUUAAAAUGUUUAUCUGAGUCUUUAGUACUUUUAAAUUUAACAAAUGACGCUGGACACCACCGUUGUAGCAUAACUUAAUUUUCCUAAAAUUUUGAAAUACUAUUAUGCAAAUUUCGUAGCAUCCGCCGCAACGAAUCCCGCGUACUCAUUACUCUCGCGUGCGCGUGACAGUAACUCGUUCAUGAUGAACAAAGUUGCGGUGGAAAAAAAAAAUAGCGGGCUUUUGGAAAUGCAAAACUUUAGGUGAUUUUUUAAUUACAACUUGCGAUAUCUCUGCGGCGGCGUGAUACGCGCGGGAGUACCCGCGGGAAUCACGACGAUGCUGUCGGUCAAAGCUGCCCAGCUUGGCAUUUGUUCCACAACUAAAAAUAGAAAGAAUUCCGAAAGAACUUUUCGCUCUUUAAACAUAAUUACAUGAACCCGUGCACUGUCGCGCGUUACCCGGGCAACUUCUCGGGCGAAAAAAGAGUGAAAGCCGAGACUUAAUUCCAAAAGGGAUUCGUGCACGUAAUGUAAUCCCUCAAGCAACAUCAGUUGCAGCUCUUCAACUCUUGUAUGCGACGGAUUAGUCGAAGGUCCUAAAGUUUAAAUGAAGCCCUCGUCUAAUGUAUAAUUUAUUUCCUACUGCAAUCUGCUUAGGAGAAACGACGAAGCUUAUUGUAUUUUACAAGGUCCUCUUUGUACUCGACACUCAGUGAAUGAAUGAAUAUUUCUCUACUUGUUUAGUUAGUAGAUUAGCGAUAAAAUCGUGUUAUCGUCUAACAGACGGAUGGUCGUUAAAAGUAUUAAAAACAAGUAAAUGUAAUUGCCCCUAUUUUUGAGUUAAUUACAAAAAUAGCGCGUAGUUGCAAUGUUAUCAAGUCUGUCUGAUCAUUAAUGAACUUUACUACUGUGUAUCGUUUUAAUUCAAUAAUAGAUGGGACACCGUAUUUUAUCUGACUGCACUUUAUCAAUUCAUUCGAAAACUUGAUUAAAACUGUAUCGUGUCAUCUGUGAACGUGAUAAAUUAAUACACGAGUAAUUUUAGUUACCUCACAUUAAAAAGAGAGUAUUGAUGUCUAGACAGGUGUGUGUACCAAAAUAAUAUUAUUUUCAUACAAAGAUGUUAAAAAUAUCUCACAGAUUCACAAUUUUUUAUCUUGCACAUUAAUCUGUAAGUGCAAAUUGAAUUUGUAUUAAAAUUUAAAACUUACUAAACAAUAUACUUUUGUAUAUCUAGUUUUUUUCUUUUAAAGAAGACCAUUCUAAAUUUCUACUAAUUAUUUCCUUGGUUGAUUUCUAGAUUAAUUUUUUUAUUAUAAUAAAAAUCAUUGAACUCUCUAGCAAACCAAUUUAAUCUAGAUUUUUUAUUAAAAGAGAAGAAAGAACGAACUUGCAAAUGUAACGUGAGAAAAAUGUUGUUAAUUUCACACAUUUCGUAUCUAUCGAGCUUUUUAGCUGUUACGAAAAUUCGAUAUUUGACGGAGAGGUUUCGAUGAGUUUUCUUUUUCUCUUCUCUCGCUCGUACCCGUUAGAAAUGAACGAAGUUUACGCAUAUGAGUUCGUUUCCUCAUAUCGUACAGCUUGUUGGUCAUGUUUACUAACGCGCGAAGCUAAUUGCUAGUUUAACGUUGCAUAUUUCAGGACUAGAAAAUGCCCUGUAACCACGUUAGCGAGAGCAAAAAGCGCGCGUAGACGGAAACGGAGCUCUCGUCUGACCGAAGACUCGGGGAGCAUGAAACCGCGGGUGUUUAUGAGACGAGGUCGUUUUACGGGCGAUACUGUGGUCCAAAGCAGCUCGUGUAUUAGCAGACGGAACGAAGUAAAAUUCUUUCAGCUUUUGUCGUCCCGGCUGUGGCGUAUGAGGCGCCACGAGCGCAAAAAGCGAAAUACCGCGCGCUUUACAUCAGCCGGAGGAUCGGUAUAAACUUUUAGUGCGAGAGGAAGAACUUUUAGUACCAUAAUUUCGGCGCCAUUUUGAGAAAGUCGUUCCAGCAAUAUCACAUGACCCGCCUCUGACGGGGUUAUGUAUCUCUGUAAAUUAAUUCUUUAUAAUUCAAAGACAAUACCGCUGGAUUCCGCGCAUACGGAAUAUCACGUUUCUUCCUCAGACAACCGACACACGACUUAACGCGGAGAAUUGAUCCCUUCGCCAUUUGUAAUGCAAAACGUUGCGAUCGAUAUAGCUUACAAGUUGCAAUACGUUGCCGCUCUUAAUUAUUGACGGGAUCUGCGCAAGAACGUUACGCGCAAAUCAUUAUUGCAAACUUGCGAAGCCGGAAUAUCGGAACCCUUUAAAGGCGAUGUGACUUCGGCCGAUCGCACGAAAUCUGCCGGUCGAAAAUCUUGUGCAUCAAUUUUUUUACUGCAAUUGGAACCGAUAUUGGGUGGAACAGAGAGAGAGAGAGAGAGAGAGAGAGAGAGAGAGAGAGAGAGAGAGAGAGAGAGAGAGAGAGAGAGAGAGAGAGAGAGAGAGAGCCUUUUGUUCGCAAAUAUGUGAAAAUUAAACGGUUGCUUACCGGUGAUUUGAUAACGUCAGUAAUUAGGGGUCUACGUUCCCGUAUGCUGCAGCAGCGCGAUGUAGAAAUCGAGGUUUCGAAGUUCUCCGAAAUUUCAAUACAGGUUUCGCAAGAGAGGCGUAAUUAUUCGUGGUUGCACGCGCGGUAACUUGCUAAAUUCCAUCUAUUAAUAUAUAUAGAUAAAUCAACGCGCCGUACGUAAACUGGAUUUUGUCGUUGCUUAUUAAAUGGGCCGGGGAUGUAGUGAAUUAUAAUUACAGUCCCUGAAUAGAGGAGAUAGGUGCUAUCUAUAAACGGAAUUAUAGGCGAUAUCGCUGCAUAAAAUAUCGGAAUAUAAAAUAUCGAACGUAUUAUUCUCCACAUUAAACAGCCGCAGGUGAAAUAACGCUGUCCGUCUAUUAUAAUAACAUGGUUAAAUAAAUGUGCUCAAAAUGCUCGUGCCCACUGAAGCUUUAAUUCAUCGCAUAUUUUCUGGCGCACUCUUUUAGCAUAUUAUUUUCAAUGUGCAUUCUUUGUUUAGUCAAAAAUAGCGCGUUAUUUUUACAAAGAAUUAACAUGUUUAUCUACUCCAUUGCGGCAUUCAACGUGUCUGUUUAAUCUACACAGCGGAUAUAUGAUCAAACUAUCGGUUGGAAAUCAAGUAGAAAUUACAUUCGACAUAUUAUCCUAUCGCGACUUGAAUUAAAAUAUUAGAUCAAUAUAUAACUUUUUCAUCAAUAUGUACAUAGUUUAUUGAUACUUGCAUUUAUUUUAAAACUAUUACCACGCGUGUAAGAACAAGAAAUUAUAAAAAAUAUUAUUUAACCCUUCAAGCUGGCAUUAUAAUGCUGGAUCUGUGAAACCCAUUUGUUUGUGUUAACUAAAAGGCACUAAUUAAUUUUAAAGAAUGAUACAUAAUUCGUAUAAAAUAGUAUGAAUAUCAGGUUUAUUUUAAUUACAAAAAAUUUAUAAUUUAUAAUUGACAUUAGAUUUAAUAAACCGUCAGCUUCGGUCUAUAUAAAAAACAUAUCUUCUCGAUAUCGUGGAUCUCUUUAUUCCGACUAGUUCUGUAUCUAUUUACUAGUAUUUAAAAAAAUGUAUAAACAUACUUUCAAGUUUCUAAAACAAAGUUUGAAUUCCAUUUUGAAAAAAAAAUUUAAUUAUCUUUGAAAUCUCAAGAAACUUCCGUGGCUGAAAAUCGGUUGGACACCGAAUACUCAUGACGGUAAUUUAAGAGUUAAAGAAAUAUACAUAAAUAAGGAUACCAAAUUAAUUAAUGUCAUUUAAUACAUUCAAUAAUAAAUAGUCCUUGUUGUGUAAUCUAUCCGUGUACUAAAUAAGUAUCAUAAUCAUAAAUUCAUAAAUUCAUAAAUUCUCGCCAUUAAGAAAUCUGUCAUCGCGUCAUUCUUAUUCGCGGCGAUAAUACGGGCGCAUUUACCUCUCGACUUAACGGAAGCACGACCGACGCGACGCGACUCACGCACACGCGUGCACCGGCCGAUUGCGGCAGACAGUUGCGGACGCGAAGGGCUCUCAUUGUCCGUGAUUAAUCAGCGCGGACAUUUCGUAACGACGUAGCAACACAACAUCUGCCGUAUGUCGCACCACUAGACGUCAGUCCAGGGCCCCGCAAACAAAAGCGCCGUCCGCGUUAUGCACAAGAGCUCACCAACGGCUCGGACACCAGCGUUCGUCCUCGUCGAUGACGAUGUGCCUUGUCGAGUAGGACAACGGGAGAGAUGGAAUAACGUGACAUUCGGGGGAGGGGGGGAGAACCUCGAAGAAACGAAUACCGCGGAAUGUUCGCGUUUCCGCUCUUAAUUUCUCUCCGUCCUACAUCAUGGGACAUCACGCGUAGCCACGUUUUCUUUCACGGAGUUUAAGAGAACACACAUUCAACCUAAUUUGAGAAUCUCCAUUCUCUGGAUUACAGCGAAAAGAAAAAAAA